ACAACUAGACUGUACAAGUGAAGUAUUUAAACUUAAAAAUUCCAUGAAAUCUGGUUGAUGACAGUGCUGAUUUAUUGUGAUGACAGCUUCAUGGCAGAGAAGUUUGUUACGAUGAUAGCUUGAUAAUAGAGAAUUUGACAGCAGAGAAUCCCUGUAAGUUUGCUGAACUACCAUGCAGAGUUACUGUAAGUUUGAACUUGCCGAAGUUAUAGGCUUGAUUGAAUUGUCAUCUUGGUUUGAAAAUAUUGCCGUUAGAGUUCCAAGAUCACUCAACCUCUCUCCAGUAAUUGAUACUAGAUUGUGAGAGUCACCAUCCUUUUUUCUCCAAGAAUCUCGUGUAU
rnacentral:lncRNA from 1 species